GCGGAACGUCUAGAUGUAAGAGGAUUUAUAUAUGAUGCUCUCUCAUUUCUAAUGGCCUUGUUAUAUAUGAUGCUCUCUCAGAAUAUCAUAAUGGACCUGCAACUUUGACUUCAUCCAAUUCCACUCCGUCUUUCUGCAGUUUCUCUUUAAUUUAUUAGUUUCCUCAGUCAUCCAAGGGCCUCUCCUUUUUCAACUUUACUGGAUCUAUGGCAUCAAUGUUUUCCCUUCAUUUACAAUGUUUUUAUUUAACUAACGUUGACUGGCAACAAGCUAGUAAAAAAAUCCCCAGUGGUGAUCAGAGAAAGCAACAUCAACAAUAGAGGAUAUGUCAAUAGAAAGCCCCUUGGUAAUAACCAGGUCCAGAGUAUGGCUGUGGUUAUCGGUGGGCCCAGUAGAAAGCCCCUUGGUAAUAACCAGGUCUAUAGUAUGGCUGGGGUUAUGGGUGGGCCCAGUAGAAAGCCCCUUGGUAAUAACCAGGUCCAGAGUAUGGCUGUGGUUAUGGGUGGGCCCAGGAGAAAGCCCCUUGGUAAUAACCAGGUCCAGAGUAUGGCUCUGGUUAUGGGUGGGCCCAGUAGAAACACCCUUGGUUAUAACCAGGUCCAGAGCAUGGCUGUGGUUAUGGGUGGGCCCAGUAGAAAGCCCCUUGGUAAUAACCAGGUCCAGAGUAUGGCUGUGGUUAUGGGUGGGCCCAGUAGAAAGCCCCUUGGUAAUAACCAGGUCCAGAGUAUGGCUGUGGUUAUGGGUGGGUCCAGUAGAAAGCCCCUUGGUAAUAAACAGGUCUAUUUUAUGGCUGUGG
rnacentral:lncRNA from 1 species